rnacentral:misc_RNA from 1 species
AGCCCGACUACAUUGGCUCUGAGAGUAAACCGGGAGAUUUGCAAGAGAAAAAGGAGGUCAAAUCAGAGUCGGAUCUUGAGCCGAAAUCGGCGAGAUCUCGGUUUGCACCUGGUGGCUUCACUGAGGAGAAGGCGAAACAACUCCGCAUGUUGACUAGUGAUACGUCGUCGUUUCACGAUGCUAUGUAUCACUCGGCGAUAGCGUCUCGGCUCGCUUCAGACUUCAGGCGCCGAUCCGAUCGGUAGUCGUCCGGGGAAUACGGCUAGUAACCGGAUCUUUCAUGUAUUU